rnacentral:rRNA from 1 species
GGCNNGGGCGUGCUACACAUGCAGUCGAACGAUGAAGCCCAGUCUUGCUGGGUGGAUUAGUGGCGAACGGGUGAGUAACACGUGGGUGAUCUGCCCUGCACUUCGGGAUAAGCCUGGGAAACUGGGUCUAAUACCGGAUAGGACCUCCGGAUGCAUGUUCCGGGGUGGAAAGGUUUUCCGGUGCAGGAUGGGCCCGCGGCCUAUCAGCUUGUUGGUGGGGUAACGGCCCACCAAGGCGACGACGGGUAGCCGGCCUGAGAGGGCGACCGGCCACACUGGGACUGAGACACGGCCCAGACUCCUACGGGAGGCAGCAGUGGGGAAUAUUGCACAAUGGGCGCAAGCCUGAUGCAGCGACGCCGCGUGAGGGAUGACGGCCUUCGGGUUGUAAACCUCUUUCAGUACCGACGAAUCGCAGAUGACGGUAGGUACUCAAGAAUCACCGGCCAACUACAUGCCACCACCCGCGGUAAUACGUAAGGUGCCAGCGUUGUCCGGAAUUACUGAGCGUAAAUAGCUCGUACGCGGUUUGUCGCGUCCUCUGUGAAAACCCGCAGCUCAACUGCGGGCUUGCAGGCUAUACCGGCAAACUUGAUUACUGCAUGGGAGACUGGAAUUCCUGGUGUAGCGGUGAAAUGCCCAGAUAUCCGGAGGAACGCCGGUGGCUAAGGCGGAUCUCUGGUCACUAACUGACGCUGAUGAGCCAAAGCGUGCGUACCUAACAGGAUAAACCCCC